AAAAGUUACAAUGUGGAGGGAGGCUAAG
rnacentral:piRNA from 1 species